AAAAUGAAAGGUGGAAAGAAUAAUCUCUUCUUUUUAUCCCAUAUUUCUGUCUCACUUUAUCCGACCCAAACAUUUGAUAUUUUGAUUCUAAGGGCAUCUCCAACCACAACACCAUUGCACUAUUUUUUGGUGCAAAAUUGCUCCAACUCAACAUCAAACUUUACACCAUUUUGGUGAAAAAUGGUGCAAAGUGUGGUGCAAAGUGUAAAAUAUCUAUUUUGCCCUUAUUUAAUAUUUUUCAAAUAAAUUUGUUGAGAGUAUUUAUUUAAUUUGUGCUAUAUAUUUUUUAAUAUAAUAAAUUAUUAUUAUUUUUUAUUAAUACUAAUAUUAUUUUUGUUUAAAAUAAAUUUUAAAUGUAAGACAUAAUAAUUAAUUAAUUAAUUAAAAGACUAAAAUAAUUUAAAAUACAUCAAAAACUAUUAUUUAUUAAAAUUAACACGAAAUAUAUUAAAUAGUAAUUUAUGUUCUAUGUUUAUUAAUUGUUUUAUGUUUUUUAUAUUUGUUAAUGAAUUUAAUUUUUUCCGUAAUUUAACGUAAUUAUUUAUUUAAUAAUUUAUAUAUUUAUGAAAUAAUUAAAUAAAUAAUAUUUCAAAUAAGUAGAUUAUAAAGAAUAAAAAAGGGAAGAAAAUGGUUAAAUAUUAUUUAUUUGGUGUAAUUUUUGACGUAAUAGUUGGAUAUGAAUUUUAGUUUGAUGCAAGAUUUGAUGUAAAAUUUGGUGUAAAACAGUGUAAAAUUGGAGAUGGCCUAAGCUCCUCAUAACCGCCCACGAACAUAGAUACAGAGCGAGUGCGAGUAAGUUCAUAGCUAAUGGCGGAGAAGCCCCAGCCUGUUCGAGUUUUAUACUGCGGAGAGUGCGGAUUACCCGCGGAGUACUGCGAGUUUGGGCCUGAUU
rnacentral:lncRNA from 1 species